ensembl:snRNA U6 U6 spliceosomal RNA
GUGCUCGCUUCGCCAGCACAUUUACUAAAAUUGGAAUGAUACAGAGAAGAUUAGCAAGGCCCCUGUGCAAGGAUGACACGCAAAUUCAUAAAGCGUUUCAUAUUUUU